UAUUUUAAAAAAAAAGAAAAAAAGUGUGAGGAUUGUGGAAUAAUUAUCAGAAAACAGGAACAUUAAAAUGAAAGAUAAAAGCAGAAAAGAAGUUUAAAGCUCAAAUAUAGCUGGUGACUGGAAACAAAAUAUUUUGUGACAGAUUUUUAUAUUUUUGGAAUUUCUAAUUGCUGGAAUUAUUAUUGCAGAUAUAAAAUAAAUUUAAAAGUAUAUUUAUAAUAAAUAUACGAUUUACUUUCAAUAAGAGUGGUAUCAUUAUAUAUAUUUAAAUUUUUGCACCAUGGCAUCACUUGAUAUAAAACUAAACAAGUUCAAUAAAGUUUAUCAAGAGGGAG